rnacentral:piRNA from 1 species
UCAACUUUUGGGAGAUGAUACUGCUGAG